rnacentral:rRNA from 1 species
GAGGAAUAUUGGUCAAUGGGCGCUAGCCUGAACCAGCCAAGUAGCGUGAAGGAUGAAGGCUCUAUGGGUCGUAAACUUCUUUUAUAUAAGAAUAAAGUGCAGUAUGUAUACUGUUUUGUAUGUAUUAUAUGAAUAAGGAUCGGCUAACUCC